rnacentral:lncRNA from 10 species
CGCAAAGGCAUAGUGCAGGUUCAGUAGCAUAGCCUGUGUGGCUUGUGGUUCAUGAAUCAGACUGCCUAAUCCCGGGAACCACAAGGGACAUCUGUAAAUCCAUUGGCCAGUUCCUGAGCUUCUUCUGUUUCAGAGCUAUGUUUCCCAGUGGGCUGCCACAUCUUUGGGUUUCCAGUACUUGGAAUUUUGCUUUCCAGUUGCAGAGCUAAGAAGCCAAUUCACAUUCCAUCGUUGUCCCAAAGUCUUUUUCCUAUUUUGAAUGCCCCAUCUUGUCUGGAUUUAUCAAGGGUCCACAGAUUUACAACUUGAGGUGGCCUGCACCAGACCCACGGGGCAAUAACAGUCUUCCAUUGAAUUCUUUAGCAGUUUCUACAAUUGCAUAAGUUAACAAGAUCAACCUUGCUGGGAAAUGAACAAGCGACCAGAUGAGGGAAUGGAGGCUUAGAGAGGAAGAAUGGUCCAAGAUGGUGCAGCAAAUGGCAGCCUCAGGAAGAGGAUCCUGACCAGUUCCCUGAAAGGACUGCGUGCAAUUCUACUUGGAGAUCUUCAUAACACCUUAAGGGAAAAAUCCUUUUUGAAAGAAAAACAAGUCUGGGUGGUGCUUGAAAAUUCAGAAGGCAGCUAGAAACUCUGCCAAUUACAACUGGUGAUUGCUGAGUUCUGGAGACAGACUGGGCUUCUGCUUUCUUUUGGUGGAGGUGUCUGCUUGCAGAAAAUUUAUGUUCUGGGAUUUACAACUUCAGGGAGACAAAGGAAACUCCAGCUCAUCUCCCACAUCAUUGAUUGAGAGGACCAUUUUCUGACUGUCUGCACACGUUUCCUAUACUACCCUUUAAUGCAACAAUGGGAUGAAGAGAUGAAGACUUCUAGCAGGCUACCUCAGAAAGGUUGCUGACCAAAGGCUGUAUGGACCAAAAAGUCAUAACACCACCCUGGAUGAAAGGACAUUUACCUAAGGAAUUACCCGCUCUCAAUUCUUCCCAGGUGCAUGUAGUAUAGAUUAAAUAAGGUGGUUGUAUGGCAACAGAGACAUUAUUAGAAACAUUCUUCUUGAAGUUUGACAACAAAGCAGUAGAUGUGUAUCUACUACAGAGUUGUUAGUGAAAAAAGGGAUGGGCAUUUGAAUUAUUUCCAGUUUUUGGCUAUUAUGAAAAAAACUGCUAUGAACAUUCAUACACAAGUGUGUGUGUGGACCCAUGUUUUCACUGAUCAAGGCCUAAAUACCUACGGUAAGUAUACAUUUAACCUUAUAAGAAAAUGCAAAACUAUUUUUCCAAAGUAGUAUCAUUUUACAUUUCUUCUAACAACAUAUGAGAAUGGCAGUUGCUCUACUAAUAUGGUUUGGCUUUGUGUCCCCACC